rnacentral:lncRNA from 1 species
AGCUAAGAUCGGGUCCGGCGCUCCAGAACAGAACGAUCCCUGAGGCUCCCUUGCUCGAACUGUGGGACUUACCCUACUAUGGUCCGAGCCUACCCUAUUUCAUUAUACUCAAGUAACGCCCCAGAAAUUCCAGAGAAUCUCACACAAAGAGGUUGAGUCUUGCCGUGGUGCCUUCAGGGGAAUGUCAUCCCGGGCUAGAAGAGCUGCAAAAGGCUGUCAGGCUUCUCAGAACUUUGCUUCUCCAGCAGAAUAAUCCUGCGGAAGACUGAGCAGUUCUUGUGAGUGUAAAACCAUGGCCCAUGAUAUUCUGGCUCAAAGCCAGAUGUGAUUACCUUACUGGAGCAAGGGAAAGAGCCCUGCGUGGUGGCGAGGGAUGUGACAGGAAGACAGUGCCCCGGUUUGUUAUCCAGGCAUAAGACCAAGAAAUUAUCUUCAGAAAAGGACAUUCAUGAAAUCAGUUUAUCCAAAGAGAGUAUAAUAGAAAAAAGUAAAACUCUUCGUCUGAAAGGAUCCAUUUUUAGAAAUGAGUGGCAGAACAAAAGUGAGUUUGAGGGUCAACAGGGACUUAAAGAAAG